GACGAACGCUGGCGGCGUGCUUAACACAUGCAAGUCGAACGGAAAGGCCCUGCUUUUGUGGGGUGCUCGAGUGGCGAACGGGUGAGUAACACGUGAGUAACCUGCCCUUGACUUUGGGAUAACUUCAGGAAACUGGGGCUAAUACCGGAUAGGAGCUCCUGCUGCAUGGUGGGGGUUGGAAAGUUUCGGCGGUUGGGGAUGGACUCGCGGCUUAUCAGCUUGUUGGUGGGGUAGUGGCUUACCAAGGCUUUGACGGGUAGCCGGCCUGAGAGGGUGACCGGCCACAUUGGGACUGGGGUACGGCCCGGACUCCUACGGGAGGCAGCGGUGGGGAAUAUUGCACAAUGGGCGGAGGCCUGAUGCAGCAACGCCGCGUGCGGGAUGACGGCCUUCGGGUUGUAAACCGCUUUCGCCUGUGACGAAGCGUGAGUGACGGUAAUGGGUAAAGAAGCACCGGCUAACUACGUG
rnacentral:rRNA from 1 species